rnacentral:rRNA from 1 species
GGAGGAAGGUGGGGAUGAUGUCAAGUCAUCAUGGCCUUUAUGGAGUGGGCUACACACGUGCUACAAUGGUGUCUACAAUGGGCUGCAAGGUGCGCAAGCCUAAGCUAAUCCCUAAAAGACAUCUCAGUUCGGAUUGUACUCUGCAACUCGAGUACAUGAAGUUGGAAUCGCUAGUAAUCGUGGAUCAGCAUGCCAAAA